rnacentral:lncRNA from 1 species
GUCCGGACUCUUACUUGGGUCGAACUUCAGGCUCCUCUCAAGUGGAUAACUAACCACCAGACACUCCAGCCGAACUUCAACCGACGGGUCUGCACUCCCUGGCGCGACACAGCAACAGCCACGAUCCUGCUCCACUUCCUGCGACGGAUUCCGCGCGGCUCCAUUAUUCCCUGGCAGACCGCUAUGACGGCCACGAUCCUGCUCCACUUCCUUCGAUGGAUUCCGCGCAGCUCCACUAUUCCCUGGC